rnacentral:rRNA from 1 species
UCCGACCGUUUGUUCCUUUUUCCG